rnacentral:rRNA from 1 species
UGAAAGGGAAACGAUUGAAGUCAGUCGUACCGGCGGAUAAUCAGCCUUUCGAGUAUGAUUUUGUGGAGUGUGAGGAGUUUAACUGCCUUCAUACCUGCAUAUUCGUGCGCUUUGGGUGUACUUGUCCGUACGGUAGGUUAACAUCAAUUUUUGGCCGUUAUAAAAUGGCUAGAGGAAUGUAACUUUGAUCUCGUAUUGAAGUGUUAUAGCCUCCGGUAGAUGUAAUGACUAGGAUUGAGGAUUGCAACGGAUACCUUUCGGGGCUACUCGUCUGAUCUCUGAAAGUUACUUUGGUGCUGAAAGCUUGCUUAUGGUUAUCGAAGUUGACAGUCAAUAGGUUAGAGCGGGUUAAUUCGUUAAGGAUGUUGACGUAAAGGGC